UCUCCGUUGGUGAACCAGCGGAGGGAUCAUUACAGGAUUCGCAAGAACUCCCGUAACCACUGUGAACCUUACCUUCUGUUGCCUCGGCGCGAGCCGGGGGCUUCUAUAAGCCCCCCCUUACCUCGGUGAGGAGCAGGCCCGCCGGCGGCCCUAUAAACUCUUGUUUUAACGUAUCUCUUCUGAGUACAAAUUAUAAAUGAAUCAAAACUUUCAACAACGGAUCUCUUGGUUCUGGCAUCGAUGAAGAACGCAGC
rnacentral:misc_RNA from 1 species